rnacentral:rRNA from 1 species
GAGGAUGCGAGCGUUAUCCGGAUUUAUUGGGUUUAAAGGGAGCGCAGACGGGAUGUUAAGUCAGCUGUGAAAGUUUGCGGCUCAACCGUAAAAUUGCAGUUGAUACUGGCGUCCUUGAGUGCGGUUGAGGUGUGCGGAAUUCGUGGUGUAGCGGUGAAAUGCUUAGAUAUCACGAAGAACCCCGAUUGCGAAGGCAGCACACUAAGCCGUAACUGACGUUCAUGCUCGAAAGUGUGGGUAUCAAA